rnacentral:rRNA from 1 species
GAUGAACGCUGGCGGCGUGCUUAACACAUGCAAGUCGAACGAACCUUCGGGUUAGUGGCGGACGGGUGAGUAACGCGUGAGAAUCUGCCCUCAGGAGGGGGAUAACGGCUGGAAACGGCCGCUAAUACCCCAUAUGCCGCGAGGUGAAACGAAUUUCGCCUGAGGAUGAGCUCGCGUCUGAUUAGCUAGUUGGUGGGGUAAGAGCCUACCAAGGCAUCGAUCAGUAGCUGGUCUGAGAGGAUGAUCAGCCACACUGGGACUGAGACACGGCCCAGACUCCUACGGGAGGCAGCAGUGGGGAAUUUUCCGCAAUGGGCGCAAGCCUGACGGAGCAACGCCGCGUGAGGGAUGAAGGCCUCUGGGCUGUAAACCUCUUUUAUCAAGGAAGAAGAUCUGACGGUACUUGAUGAAUAAGCCACGGCUAAUUCCGUGCCAGCAGCCGCGGUAAGAC